UACGGAGGGUGCAAGCGUUGCUCGGAAUUACUGGGCGUAAAGGGAGCGUAGGCGGACAGUUUAGUCAGAGGUGAAAGCCCAGGGCUCAACCUUGGAAUUGCCUUUGAUACUGACUGUCUUGAGUUUGGGAGAGGUUAGCGGAACUCCGAGUGUAGAGGUGAAAUUCGUAGAUAUUCGGAAGAACACCAGUGGCGAAGGCGGCUAACUGGCCCAUUACUGACGCUGAGGCUCGAAAGCGUGGGGAGCAAACAGG
rnacentral:rRNA from 1 species